rnacentral:rRNA from 1 species
CAUGCAGUCGAGCGGUAGCACAGAGAGCUUGCUCUCGGGUGACGAGCGGCGGACGGGUGAGUAAUGUCUGGGAAACUGCCUGAUGGAGGGGGAUAACUACUGGAAACGGUAGCUAAUACCGCAUAAUGUCGCAAGACCAAAGUGGGGGACCUUCGGGCCUCAUGCCAUCAGAUGUGCCCAGAUGGGAUUAGCUAGUAGGUGGGGUAACGGCUCACCUAGGCGACGAUCCCUAGCUGGUCUGAGAGGAUGACCAGCCACACUGGAACUGAGACACGGUCCAGACUCCUACGGGAGGCAGCAGUGGGGAAUAUUGCACAAUGGGCGCAAGCCUGAUGCAGCCAUGCCGCGUGUGUGAAGAAGGCCUUCGGGUUGUAAACACUUUCAGCGGGGAGGAAGGCGUUAAGGUUAAUAACCUUGUCGAUUGACGUUACCCGCAGAAGAAGCACCGGCUAACUCCGUGCCAGCAGCCGCGGUAAUACGGAGGGUGCAAGCGUUAAUCGGAAUUACUGGGCGUAAAGCGCACGCAGGCGGUCUGUCAAGUCGGAUGUGAAAUCCCCGGGCUCAACCUGGGAACUGCAUUCGAAACUGGCAGGCUAGAGUCUUGUAGAGGGGGGUAGAAUUCCAGGUGUAGCGGUGAAAUGCGUAGAGAUCUGGAGGAAUACCGGUGGCGAAGGCGGCCCCCUGGACAAAGACUGACGCUCAGGUGCGAAAGCGUGGGGAGCAAACAGGAUUAGAUACCCUGGUAGUCCACGCCGUAAACGAUGUCGAUUUGGAGGUUGUGCCCUUGAGGCGUGCUUCCGGAGCUAACGCGUUAAAUCGACCGCCUGGGGAGUACGGCCGCAAGGUUAAAACUCAAAUGAAUUGACGGGGGCCCGCACAAGCGGUGGAGCAUGUGGUUUAAUUCGAUGCAACGCGAAGAACCUUACCUGGUCUUGACAUCCACAGAACUUUCCAGAGAUGGAUUGGUGCCUUCGGGAACUGUGAGACAGGUGCUGCAUGGCUGUCGUCAGCUCGUGUUGUGAAAUGUUGGGUUAAGUCCCGCAACGAGCGCAACCCUUAUCCUUUGUUGCCAGCGGUUCGGCCGGGAACUCAAAGGAGACUGCCAGUGAUAAACUGGAGGAAGGUGGGGAUGACGUCAAGUCAUCAUGGCCCUUACGACCAGGGCUACACACGUGCUACAAUGGCAUAUACAAAGAGAAGCGACCUCGCGAGAGCAAGCGGACCUCAUAAAGUAUGUCGUAGUCCGGAUUGGAGUCUGCAACUCGACUCCAUGAAGUCGGAAUCGCUAGUAAUCGUAGAUCAGAAUGCUACGGUGAAUACGUUCCCGGGCCUUGUACACACCGCCCGUCACACCAUGGGAGUGGGUUGCAAAAGAAGUAGGUAGCUUAACCUUCGGGAGGGCGCUUACCACUUUGUGAUUCAUGAC